GAGGUUCAAGUUUAACAGACAAAACCAACGGCUGUCACAUUCUUUGACUCUACGGAGAGAUUCACUGACAAUCAACUCCCACGACAGCCACCACUGUCGGCCAAAGAUAAUGAUAUGUUGCCACCGAUGCCCUCUACGUAUUAGCUUAAUCUUUUGAAUGUCAAGGUGAGUUCCUAUCUUGAGGAAAUCAAUUCUUCUUCCGUAGCCUAGAGGUAAAGAUGAAAGUUUUCUCUUGCUUAAGAUAAGAGCAAAAAGAAGGAAGGUGAAGUUGUCUAUGGGAAGAAGUAACACACAAACCGUCCUUUAUUGGUUUUUAGUUAGGGGCAAGCCUCCACCUCUUUUGCCCAUCCUUAAAGAUAGGUUUUGACUGUGGGAACAACCACGGAGAGUCUAGCGGCCGACCUUCUCUGUUUUUAGUAAGGUGGUUUCAACAUGGUAGGUUCCCAAGCGCAAGCAGGAUCAUGUCAAUUAGUUGAAAAGGCUUACUACAAUAAACUGUGAGGUACAUUCUCUUUCCCCCAUUUGUUUUCUUUUUUUCUUUUAUGAUCGGAGAACCUUGCCCGAAUUCAUUGGACAUGUAAAUUCUAGAAUGCAGUGACUGAACCCACAACUAUUGCAUCUGAUAAUUUAAGGUUUCGCUUUGUUGUAGCACUGCACUAGUCAAUCUCAGGUUAAUCAAUCUAUGUUUUUCACAUCAAA